UACGUAGGUGGCAAGCGUUGUCCGGAUUUACUGGGCGUAAAGCGCGCGCAGGCGGAUGGUUAAGUAGGAAGUGAAAGGUUGGAGCUCAACUCCAACAUUGCUCCCUAUACUGGCCGUCUUGAGUCCCGGAGAGGAAAGCGGAACGACACGUGGAGCGGUGAAAUGCGUUGAAUAUGUGUCGGAACACCAAUGGCGAAGGCAGCUUUCUGGACGGGU
rnacentral:rRNA from 1 species